rnacentral:rRNA from 1 species
GUGGGGAAUUUUGGACAAUGGGGGCAACCCUGAUCCAGCCAUUCCGCGUGAGUGAAGAAGGCCUUCGGGUUGUAAAGCUCUUUCGGCAGGAACGAAACGGUGAGCUCUAACAUAGCUCGCUAAUGACGGUACCUGAAGAAGAAGCACCGGCUAACUACGUGCCAGCAGCCGCGGUAAUACGUAGGGUGCGAGCGUUAAUCGGAAUUACUGGGCGUAAAGCGUGCGCAGGCGGUUGUGUAAGACAGGUGUGAAAUCCCCGGGCUUAACCUGGGAACUGCGCUUGUGACUGCACGGCUAGAGUAUGGCAGAGGGGGGUGGAAUUCCACGUGUAGCAGUGAAAUGCGUAGAGAUGUGGAGGAACACCGAUGGCGAAGGCAGCCCCCUGGGCCAAUACUGACGCUCAUGCACGAAAGCGUGGGGAGCAAACAGGAUUAGAAACCCCUGUAGUCC